GACGAACGCUGGCGGCGUGCCUAAUACAUGCAAGUCGAACGCACUCUCGUUUAGAUUGAAGGAGCUUGCUCCUGAUUGAUAAACAUUUGAGUGAGUGGCGGACGGGUGAGUAACACGUGGGUAACCUGCCCUAAAGUGGGGGAUAACAUUUGGAAACAGAUGCUAAUACCGCAUAAAACCUAACACCGCAUGGUGUAGGGUUGAAAGAUGGUUUCGGCUAUCACUUUAGGAUGGACCCGCGGUGCAUUAGUUAGUUGGUGAGGUAAAGGCUCACCAAGACCGUGAUGCAUAGCCGACCUGAGAGGGUAAUCGGCCACACUGGGACUGAGACACGGCCCAGACUCCUACGGGAGGCAGCAGUAGGGAAUCUUCCACAAUGGACGAAAGUCUGAUGGAGCAACGCCGCGUGAGUGAAGAAGGUUUUCGGAUCGUAAAACUCUGUUGUUGGAGAAGAAUGUAUCUGAUAGUAACUGAUCAGGUAGUGACGGUAUCCAACCAGAAAGCCACGG
rnacentral:rRNA from 1 species